AGAGUUUGAUUCUGGCUCAGAUUGAACGCUGGCGGCAUGCCUUACACAUGCAAGUCGAACGGCAGCACGGGGGCAACCCUGGUGGCGAGUGGCGAACGGGUGAGUAAUACAUCGGAACGUGUCCUGUAGUGGGGGAUAGCCCGGCGAAAGCCGGAUUAAUACCGCAUACGCUCUGCGGAGGAAAGCGGGGGCUCCUUCGGGACCUCGCGCUACAGGGGCGGCCGAUGGCAGAUUAGCUAGUUGGUGGGGUAAAGGCCUACCAAGGCGACGAUCUGUAGCUGGUCUGAGAGGACGACCAGCCACACUGGGACUGAGACACGGCCCAGACUCCUACGGGAGGCAGCAGUGGGGAAUUUUGGACAAUGGGCGCAAGCCUGAUCCAGCAAUGCCGCGUGUGUGAAGAAGGCCUUCGGGUUGUAAAGCACUUUUGUCCGGAAAGAAAACCUCAGCCCUAAUACGGCGGGGGGAUGACGGUACCGGAAGAAUAAGCACCGGCUAACUACGUGCCAGCAGCCGCGGUAAUACAUAGGGUGCAAGCGUUAAUCGGAAUUACUGGGCGUAAAGCGUGCGCAGGCGGUCCGCUAAGACAGAUGUGAAAUCCCCGGGCUUAACCUGGGAACUGCAUUUGUGACUGGCGGGCUAGAGUAUGGCAGAGGGGGGUAGAAUUCCACGUGUAGCAGUGAAAUGCGUAGAGAUGUGGAGGAAUACCGAUGGCGAAGGCAGCCCCCUGGGCCAAUACUGACGCUCAUGCACGAAAGCGUGGGGAGCAAACAGGAUUAGAUACCCUGGUAGUCCACGCCCUAAACGAUGUCAACUAGUUGUCGGGCCUUCAUUGGCUUGGGUAACGUAGCUAACGCGUGAAGUUGACCGCCUGGGGAGUACGGUCGCAAGAUUAAAACUCAAAGGAAUUGACGGGGACCCGCACAAGCGGUGGAUGAUGUGGAUUAAU
rnacentral:rRNA from 1 species